rnacentral:rRNA from 1 species
GGGGAAUUUUGGACAAUGGGCGCAAGCCUGAUCCAGCCAUGCCGCGUGUCUGAAGAAGGCCUUCGGGUUGUAAAGGACUUUUGUCAGGGAAGAAAAGGCUGUCGCUAAUACCGACAGUUGAUGACGGUACCUGAAGAAUAAGCACCGGCUAACUACGUGCCAGCAGCCGCGGUAAUACGUAGGGUGCGAGCGUUAAUCGGAAUUACUGGGCGUAAAGCGAGCGCAGACGGUUACUUAAGCAGGAUGUGAAAUCCCCGGGCUCAACCUGGGAACUGCGUUCUGAACUGGGUGACUAGAGUGUGUCAGAGGGAGGUAGAAUUCCACGUGUAGCAGUGAAAUGCGUAGAGAUGUGGAGGAAUACCGAUGGCGAAGGCAGCCUCCUGGGAUAACACUGACGUUCAUGCUCGAAAGCGUGGGUAGCAAACAGGAUUAGAUACCCUGGUAGUCCACGCCCUAAACGAUGUCAAUUAGCUGUUGGGCAACUUGAUUGCUUAGUAGCGUAGCUGACGCGUGAAAUUGACCGCCUGGGGAGUACGGUCGCAAGAUUA